UCUGUUUGCGAAGAUAGGAUGUGAUUUUGUUUUUGACGUUACUUCAGGUAUAGAACGAAGCUUGCGGAUUGACUUGUUCGAGGGAGUCGGAAAGGGGGAAUGACUUGAUCCGAUUCGUAAAGACCAAAAAGCUAAGUACGAGAUUCUUAUUUAAACUUUUGCUAGCUAAAUGACUCGAUUAAAAUAGGGGCUUAUCAUCCCUUCCUUUAGGCAUAA
rnacentral:lncRNA from 1 species